CCAAGAAAAGCUCGCAAUGCCUUAGACAAAAAAUUCCUGUACCUCAAACCGACACAGGUAGCCAUGUAGAGAAUACUAAGGGGCGCGAGACAACUCUCCUUAAGGAACUCGGCAAAAUAAUCUCGUAACUUCGGAAGAAGAGAUGCCUACACCAUAGGCUGCAAUAUCAAGAUCCAAGCAACUGUUUAGCAAAAACACAGGUCCCCGCUAAGUCGUAAGACGAUGUAUGGAGGCUGACGCCUGCCCAGUGCUCGAAGGUUACAGAAGGGGGUCAGCGCAAGCAAAGCUCUUAACUUAAGCCCGAGUGAACGGCGGCCGUAACAAUAACGGUCCUAAGGUAGCAAAAUUCCUUGUCAGGUAAGUUCUGACCCGCACGAAUGGCGUAAUGAUUUGGAUACUGUCUCAAGGAGAGACUCGGUGAAAUAGAACUGGCUGUGAAGAUGCGGCCUAACUGUGCCGGGACAGUAAGACCCUAUGAAGCUUUACUGUAUCUUGCUACUGAAUUUUGAUUUUAGUUGCGCAGAAUAGGUGGGAGGCUUUGAAGAUAUUCUUGUGGGAAUGUUGGAGCCAUCAGUGAGAUACCACUCUACUAAAAUUGAAAUUCUAACUUCAUGCCAUAAGCUGGCUGAAAGACACUUGCAGGUGGGCAGUUUGACUGGGGCGGUCGCCUCAUAAAAGGUAACUGAGGCGUACAAAGGUUUCCUCCGAUCGGUCAGAAAUCGAUCUUAGAGUGCAAAGGCAAAAGGAAGCUUAACUGUGAGACAAACAAGUCGAGCAGAAACGAAAGUUGGUCUUAGUGAUCUGGCGCUACCGAGUGGAAGGGGCGCCACUCAACGGAUAAAAGUUACUCUAGGAUAACAGGCUGAUCUUCCCAUAGAGUUCCUAUCGACGGGAAGGUUUGGCACCUCGAUGUCGGCUCAUCGCAUCCUGGAGCAGUAGUAUGUUCCAGGGGUUUGGCUGUUCGCCAAUGAAAGCGGUACGCGAGCUGGGUUCAGAACGUCGCGAGACAGUUCGGUCCAUAUCUGGCAUGGUCGUUUGAGUAUUGAGAGUGACCAUUCCCUAGUACGAGAGGACCGGGAAUGAUAUACCGCUAGUGUACCAGUUAUCGUGCUAACGGUAAACGCUGGGUAGCCAUGUGUAGCGCGGAUAACUGCUGAAAGCAUCUAAGUAGGAAGCCCACCUUAAGAUGAGUGCUCUCACCGCUAUAAGCGGGUAAGGUCACGGUAAGAACAACCGUUAUA
rnacentral:rRNA from 1 species